GAGUGCAGCCCGUGAGUCCCUGGGCUGGAGAAAGCCGAAAUUUGGCCAUCCUGCAUUUUCGGAGUACAAACAUACCCAGUCCAAACUCAGAAUGAGCUGCAGCAACUGGAUAAAUCUACUGGGACCAUGAAGAAUUCAAGUGGUUAAUUUGGGUUAAAAGUCUCUCUGCAGGUGGAAUGCCUCCUGUCCCUCAAGUGGCUCAGCAGAUCAGCCAGGAGAAAAACCAACAGCAAAAUGGACCAAAUUUGUCAAAUCUGCUUAAUUCCUUACACAGCAGGAACCCAGCUCUGCCCCGGCAGGUACAACCAGCAGGAUGGGAUAAGAACCAUGUGCUUGUGCUCCCAGCUCCAGUUCCUCACAACAACAGGGAAUUUUGUCCAUCUGCCAUCUGGCAGAGUUUUUAA
rnacentral:lncRNA from 1 species